CAUAGCUUAUUUUGAGUUAAGCCCUGCAAUGUAGACACUCUUAAAAAACAGCUCCAUCAUUAGCAAUCACUGCAUUUUCAAUUCAACUGGCUGUUAAUGCAGACAUACAAAUUGGCAAAACAUUCAGACAAAAUCAAGUUAAUCCUAUGUAUAAUAUUUCUAUGGGAACUUCAUUGUGUACAUUACAUUUGGUUCAGUACUUAGAUAAAGAAUUGUUACUGAGUUCAGUGCAAAACAAUAUUUGUGUUCCUUUAAUUUUAACUACAGUUUGUAGAUGACUUAUAAUUAAGUGGUAUGUACAUAUUUGACCCUGAAGCCAUCAUCCAGCCUUUCAUUCAGAAUUAUAUUCAUUGAUCAUUUUGACUAUGUAGCUUAUCAGCAAUUUUCCUUUUGAGUCAGUUAAAACCAAGGUGGCAUAAAAUUAUGUCUGUCCCUUCCAAAUGUUUUGCCAGUUAACUGCAUGUAAAAUACAAGGACAAUAAUUAAUAACUCCUGAUUUUUGCUACUGUAAUUUUAAAAUCAAUUCAUAACACAUGAUGUCCUCAUCAUGAUGCGAGACUGAUUUUAAGUCAAGCACAGUUGGCUUCAAAAUCCUAACAUGGCAUUUAUAUAUUUGUUAAACAUAUCAACAAGAUUUUUAUAAACUCACUCUUUGAGCCAGUAUCUGAAGUAUUCCAAUACUGAGUUAAUGCUUCUCAGUAGAUUUUACAGUCCAUUUUUUUCUAAUAGAGACAAAAUUCUGCCACAGAUCUGCACACUUAUCUCUAGAAGGUGAUUUACAGUCCAGUCACUUAAUACAAAAGCAAAAAUUAACAACAAAAAUUAAUUGUUGCAGAACAUAUGUGUGCAGCAUCUGAUUUAAAAGUAGUCUGCUCCACAAAACCAACUGAAUGUUUUGGUGAUGAGAUGAUUGCAGAUAUGCACCCAGAGUAAUCUGGAAUGGAAUUAAUAAAAUAAGACACCUUUGUUCAUAUGAUUGGCAUCUUCCACUAAGGGUUCAGGGCCUUGGAUGAGACUGAAACUUUUUUGCUGUGUUCAUAUUCUGCAGAUAAAUAUCAAUCUGAGCGCCAUAUUGGACUGAUGAAGUCCUCAGCACGGGAAGGCUCAGAUUUAUUCUUGGAGUAAGGAAUAAGCCACAUGGGGGAGAGGGGACAUGUUUCCAAUGAUGUGGACUGGCGAUCACCUUCGAGAAUAGAAACUAUUACCCAUUUUGCAUGCUGAAACAUCCUUUUGCCUGAACUGAUAGAGGAUUUGUAAGCACAGCUUAAGGAUUCGUGUCUGAAACUUU